GAGGUUGUGGCUCGGUGGUAGAGUGCUCGCCUAGCAUGUGUGAGGCUCUGGGUUCGAUCCUCAGCACCACA
rnacentral:tRNA from 1 species